rnacentral:rRNA from 1 species
GAUGAACGCUGGCGGUAUGCUUAACACAUGCAAGUCGAACGGACUCUUCGGAGUUAGUGGCGGACGGGUGAGUAACGCGUGAGAAUCUGGCUUUGGGUUCGGGACAACCACUGGAAACGGUGGCUAAUACCGGAUGUGCCGAGAGGUAAAAGAGAAAUUGCCUGAAGAUGAGCUCGCGUCUGAUUAGCUUGUUGGUGAGGUAAAGGCUCACCAAGGCAGCGAUCAGUAGCUGGUCUGAGAGGAUGACCAGCCACACUGGGACUGAGACACGGCCCAGACUCCUACGGGAGGCAGCAGUGGGGAAUUUUCCGCAAUGGGCGAAAGCCUGACGGAGCAAUACCGCGUGAGGGAAGAAGGCUCUUGGGCUGUAAACCUCUUUUCUUAGGGAAGAACAAAAUGACGGUACCUAAGGAAUCAGCAUCGGCUAACUCCGUG